ensembl:snoRNA
AGUGAGAUGAGAUCGCGCCAUUGCACUCCAGCCUGGACGACAGAGCGAGACUUCAUCUCAAAAAAAAAAAAAGGAUCCUCAGGGCUGCCAACCUUAUAGUAGAAGUUGAGGUGGUAGUGGAUUUCUCCUACACAA